AUGCAACUGAAAAUGCAUGACCAAUCUAGCUAUGGUAUCACAAGUCUUCCCGUAACCGUUUCAAGCCCUCCCCAGUCAUGUGUCCCACCCUUUUACUUCAGCAUGUGCAUAUAUAUAGAUAGUAAGACACACAGCAGGAUCCCAGUCAGUUCUCCUGUCUCCUCCAGCAUGUUCACCAGGCUGCUCUCUCUCUGGAUGACUGGGGCUUUACUGCUGCCCCUGAACUGGGGUUCCUCAUCAGACGAUGAUGAUUAUGAAGAUGUGACACCUACACCAGAUUACGACUACAAUGUUACAUUCGAUUACUAUUUGUACAAUGGCACCGAAGAGCCACAUGUUUUAAAUGUUGAGUCCAAAGUUCUCCCUAAUCAAGGGAAUACGAACUAAAUUGGCUAUGAUCGUCAUGGCAUAAAAUGAAGGAAUGAAUAAUUAAGCAGACACAUAAAAGGAAGGAUGACAGGAAAGAUGCCCAGAUUUGCUAGAGCAAAAACGUGUCUGUAGAAACUUCAAGGAACAUCUUUUGAACAAGCAUUUGUUUGAUGGCUUUGGUUUACCAAGAACGCUGCAGGCAAAACAGCAAAUCAAAAAGCAAACUUUCUCAACAUUUGACUGGGAGAAAAUAUCUAUACUGACUGCUUAAUGAACUCUUGCUGCUUUUUAGGAUUCAUUGUCAGUGUACAGACACUACGGAAUAUUAGCAGGACUGCUGGUGCUGCACAUCUGCCAGCAAACAUGAAAAUGACAGUCAACAAUGGACCAAACAAAAGUGAGUUGAACCAACUAGCCACAAGCUUUAAAAGUGCACUAAGUCACUGGCUCUCAUUCAUCUUUCUUCUAUGAUGCUUUACAGUACAUUCACAGCCUAGAGUGAUUCUCAUAGAAAUGCAUUGUUCUUGCAUAAAUCUAUAUUUAGUCACAGCUGUCUAUCACAGGUUUUGAUGAAAUCUCGAUUUAGUGCACCGUUCUUCACUGUUAAUAUAUCAUAAUAGCUACAGCAGUGUGAUCAUUUAUUAUUGUGUUACAUGUCGGAUAACAGUGCUACACUCAUUUCUUGCAUCUUUUGUUUUAUAUUUCAAAGAUACUGAGCUGCUGAUGUCAUCAAAGAGGACCGGAACAUCCUCUUUCUUUGCACACAGUGACAUCAAUACUGAUAUUUUCACUGAAUUAAAGUCUGGAGCUUUGAUAUUUCUGCUAAAUGUAUGUGUUGUUCAGGGCAGUUGAACUUUUUUGUGAUUUGAAAAUAAUUACAUAUUUUAUGCUGUUUUAGAUGCUUUAUUGGGUCUAUUAAUUAGCCAAAGAUUAUUAUCUGAGAAGCUUUCAUGAAACUGUAACCGUCUUUUACACUUUUUCAAAAAGGAUGAAAAAAAAUAUUAAUAAAAAUAUGUAGCAUAUGGUAGUAGUUUAUAUU
ensembl:lncRNA